rnacentral:rRNA from 1 species
AGAGUUUGAUCCUGGCUCAGGAUGACCUCUGGCGGCGUGCCUAAUACAUGCAAGUCGAACGCGGGCACUUGUGCCCGAGUGGCGAACGGGUGAGUAAUACAUAAGUAACCUGGCCUUUACAGGGGGAUAACUGCUGGAAACGGCAGCUAAGACCGCAUAGGUAGGGACACUGCAUGGUGACCGUAUUAAAAGUGCUGCAAGGCACUGGUAGAGGAUGGACUUAUGGCGCAUUAGCUGGUUGGUGAGGCAACGGCUCACCAAGGCGACGAUGCGUAGCCGACCUGAGAGGGUGACCGGCCACACUGGGACUGAGACACGGCCCAGACUCCUACGGGAGGCAGCAGUAGGGAAUUUUCGGCAAUGGGGGGAACCCUGACCGAGCAACGCCGCGUGAAGGAAGAAGGAAUUCGUUCUGUAAACUUCUGUUAUAAAGGAAGAAAGACGGAUGGAGGAAAUGACAUCCGAGUGACGGUACUUUAUGAGAAAGCCACGGCUAACUACGUGCCAGCAGCCGCGGUAAUACGUAGGUGGCAAGCGUUAUCCGGAAUUAUUGGGCGUAAAGAGGGAGCAGGCGGCAGCAAAGGUCUGUGGUGAAAGACUGAAGCUUAACUUCAGUAAGCCAUAGAAACCGGGCAGCUAGAGUGCAGGAGAGGAUCGUGGAAUUCCAUGUGUAGCGGUGAAAUGCGUAGAUAUAUGGAGGAACACCAGUGGCGAAGGCGACGAUCUGGCCUGCAACUGACGCUCAGUCCCGAAAGCGUGGGGAGCAAAUAGGAUUAGAUACCCUAGUAGUCCACGCCGUAAACGAUGAGUACUAAGUGUUGGAAGUCAAAUUUCAGUGCUGCAGUUAACGCAGUAAGUACUCCGCCUGAGUAGUACGUUCGCAAGAAUGAAACUCAAAGGAAUUGACGGGGGCCCGCACAAGCGGUGGAGCAUGUGGUUUAAUUCGAAGCAACGCGAAGAACCUUACCAGGUCUUGACAUACUCAUAAAGGAUCCAGAGAUGGAUAGAUAGUUAUAUGAGAUACGGGUGGUGCAUGGUUGUCGUCAGCUCGUGUCGUGAGAUGUUGGGUUAAGUCCCGCAACGAGCGCAACCCUUGUCGUUAGUUACCAUCAUUAAGUUGGGGACUCUAGCGAGACUGCCAGUGACAAGCUGGAGGAAGGCGGGGAUGACGUCAAAUCAUCAUGCCCCUUAUGACCUGGGCUACACACGUGCUACAAUGGAUGGUGCAGAGGGAAGCGAAGCCGCGAGGCGAAGCAAAACCCAUAAAACCAUUCUCAGUUCGGAUUGUAGUCUGCAACUCGACUACAUGAAGUUGGAAUCGCUAGUAAUCGCGAAUCAGCAUGUCGCGGUGAAUACGUUCUCGGGCCUUGUACAAAGCGCCCGUCAA